GUAAUAUAAGAUACGGUCUCUUAGCGUUUAACUAAAAAAACUAAGAGACGUCUUUUAAAUAAGAGAUAUAAGAGAUAUCUCUUAGUUUUAUAGUUAAAAGCUAAGAGAAUGUAUCUUAUAUUAC
rfam:Brassica napus, WGS project CCCW01000000 data, contig: 8622